rnacentral:rRNA from 1 species
AACGAACGCUGGCGGCGUGCUUAACACAUGCAAGUCGAACGUGAUUGAGAGCUUGCUCUCAUGAAAGUGGCGCACGGGUGAGUAACACGUGGAUAAUCUGCCUGGCGAUUCGGGAUAACACUUCGAAAGGGGUGCUAAUACCGGAUAAGCCCACAGUUUCUUCGGAGGGUGCGGGAAAAGGGGCCGUCUGUAUAUGCUCCUGUCGCUAGAUGAGUCCGCGGCCCAUUAGCUAGUUGGUAGGGUAAUGGCCCACCAAGGCGACGAUGGGUAGGCUGGUCUGAGAGGAUGAUCAGCCACACUGGAACUGAGACACGGUCCAGACUCCUACGGGUGGCAG